rfam:Cryptococcus bestiolae CBS 10118 unplaced genomic scaffold supercont1.7, whole genome shotgun sequence.
AUCUACGGCCAUAGAACCUAUAAAGCAUCGCAUCCCGUUCGCUCUGCGCAAUCUUAAGCUGUGUAUCGCCCGGUUAGUACCAAGGUGGGGGACCACUUGGGAAUCCCGGGUGCUGUAGUUU